rnacentral:rRNA from 1 species
GACGAACGCUGGCGGCGUGCCUAAUACAUGCAAGUCGAACGCAGUGGGGACGGGUGAGUAACACGUGGGUAACCUCCCAUCAGAGGGGAUAACACUUGGAAACAGGUGCUAAACCGAUACUGAUGGAUGAACCCGCGGUGCAUUAGCUAGUUGGUGGGGUAACGGCGCACCAAGGCCACGAUGCAUAGCGGCCCUGAGAGGAGGAUCGGCCAAACGGGAACUGAGAAACGGCCCAGACUCCGACGGGAGGCAGCAGUGGGGAAUCUUGGGCAAUGGGCGAAAGUCGGACCGAGCAACGCCGCGUGAGUGAAGAAGGUUUUCGGAUCGUAAAACUCUUUUGGUGGGGAAGCGGUAUCUAACGAAAAAGCCACGGCUAACUACGUGCCAGCAGCCGCGGUAAUAC